GGUGGGAGCGAUGAGGGUCUGAGACGGUGGGAGCGGUUGUGUGAAGAUGGAGUUUCCCGGAGGAAAUGACAAUUACCUGACGAUCACAGGGCCUUCGCACCCCUUCCUGUCAGGGGCCGAGACAUUCCAUACACCAAGCUUGGGUGAUGAGGAAUUUGAAAUCCCACCUAUCUCCUUGGAUUCUGAUCCCUCAUUGGCUGUCUCAGAUGUGGUUGGACAUUUUGAUGACCUGGCAGACCCUUCCUCUUCACAGGAUGGCAGUUUUUCAGCCCAGUAUGGGGUCCAGACAUUGGACAUGCCUGUGGGCAUGACCCAUGGCUUGAUGGAGCAGGGCGGGGGGCUCCUGAGUGGGGGCUUGACCAUGGUAAGGGGCAAGACAUUGUCAGGCUUACCCCAGCUAAUGGGCAUGGCAUUAGGGGAGACAAAAGUUACUCUAUUCCCUACUACACUUGGGUAUUACUUGUUUCUCUUCUUGUGGCUAAAGGCUCACCAACAAAGACUUAAUUUCACCUGAAUAAAUGAAAUUUACCAUGACUUGGACCACUCUAUAGGAACUCAGUAUAGUGCCAACCCACCUGUUACAAUUGAUGUACCAAUGACAGACAUGACAUCUGGCUUGAUGGGGCAUAGCCAGUUGACCACCAUUGAUCA
rnacentral:sRNA from 1 species